rnacentral:rRNA from 1 species
UUGAUCCUGGCUCAGGAUGAACGCUAGCUACAGGCUUAACACAUGCAAGUCGAGGGGCAGCAUGGUCUUAGCUUGCUAAGGCCGAUGGCGACCGGCGCACGGGUGAGUAACACGUAUCCAACCUGCCGUCUACUCUUGGACAGCCUUCUGAAAGGAAGAUUAAUACAAGAUGGCAUCAUGAGUCCGCAUGUUCACAUGAUUAAAGGUAUUCCGGUAGACGAUGGGGAUGCGUUCCAUUAGAUAGUAGGCGGGGUAACGGCCCACCUAGUCUUCGAUGGAUAGGGGUUCUGAGAGGAAGGUCCCCCACAUUGGAACUGAGACACGGUCCAAACUCCUACGGGAGGCAGCAGUGAGGAAUAUUGGUCAAUGGGCGAGAGCCUGAACCAGCCAAGUAGCGUGAAGGAUGACUGCCCUAUGGGUUGUAAACUUCUUUUAUAAAGGAAUAAAGUCGGGUAUGUAUACCCGUUUGCAUGUACUUUAUGAAUAAGGAUCGGCUAACUCCGUGCCAGCAGCCGCGGUAAUACGGAGGAUCCGAGCGUUAUCCGGAUUUAUUGGGUUUAAAGGGAGCGUAGAUGGAUGUUUAAGUCAGUUGUGAAAGUUUGCGGCUCAACCGUAAAAUUGCAGUUGAUACUGGAUAUCUUGAGUGCAGUUGAGGCAGGCGGAAUUCGUGGUGUAGCGGUGAAAUGCUUAGAUAUCACGAAGAACUCCGAUUGCGAAGGCAGCCUGCUAAGCUGCAACUGACAUUGAGGCUCGAAAGUGUGGGUAUCAAACAGGAUUAGAUACCCUGGUAGUCCACACGGUAAACGAUGAAUACUCGCUGUUUGCGAUAUACUGCAAGCGGCCAAGCGAAAGCGUUAAGUAUUCCACCUGGGGAGUACGCCGGCAACGGUGAAACUCAAAGGAAUUGACGGGGGCCCGCACAAGCGGAGGAACAUGUGGUUUAAUUCGAUGAUACGC